ACACUGACGUCGCGACGCAUAUCAAUAAGCGGAGGAAAAGAAACUAACUAGGAUUCCCUCAGUAACGGCGAGUGAAGCGGGAAGAGCUCAAAUUUGAAAUCUUCAAGGUUUUACCUUGACGAAUUGUAGUUUAAAGAAGUGUUUUCUGUUAGAUGAGUAGCAAAAGUUCCUUGGAAUAGGGACAUCAUAGAGGGUGAGAAUCCCGUAUUUGACCUAUUCAUUUCCAGCUUUGUGAUACACUUUCAAAGAGUCGGAUUGUUUGGGAAUGCAGUCCAAAAUGGGUAGUAAAUUUCAUCUAAAGCUAAAUAUUGGCGAGAGACCGAUAGCGAACAAGUACCGUGAGGGAAAGAUGAAAAGAACUUUGAAAAGAGAGUUAAACAGUACGUGAAAUUGUCAAAAGGGAAGCGUUUGACACCAGUGUUGUUUUCUCGAAAAUCAAUUAAAAAAGGUGGAUUUUGUGUUGUAUUGACCUUAUCAGCUUUCUGCACUCUUUUCGCUGUCUUUUUUAAUGCACUUUUCGGUUAACAAGUCAACAUCAAUUUCUUUUGUUGUAAAAGAGUCAUUCGGAAGGUGGCUUUCUCUUCGGAGAAAGUGUUUAUAGCCUUAUACUCUACAAUCGGAGAGACUGAGGUCUGCAGCGUAGAUCCUUCGGGGUUAGAUACAUUUGUGCUAAGCUAGCUAGCUUUUCAUAGACAACUUGUUGACUAUGUUUAGUCAUUGGGACUUACCUCGCUUAUGCUAUUUUACCUACGCUUAGGAUGUUGAGUCGUAGAGCACGCAG
rnacentral:rRNA from 1 species